GAUGAAGAACGUAGCGAAAUGCGAUACGUAAUGUGAAUUGCAGAAUUCAGUGAAUCAUCGAGUCUUUGAACGCACAUUGCGCCCCCUGGUAUUCCGGGGGGCAUGCCUGUCCGCGCGUCAUUGCUGCCCUCAAGCACGGCUUGUGUGUUGGGCCUCCGUCCUCCUCCCGGGGGACGGGCCCGAAAGGCAGCGGCGGCACCGCGUCCGGUCCUCGAGCGUAUGGGGCUUCGUCACCCGCUCUUGUAGGCCCGGUCGGCGCUUGCCGACACAUCAAUCUUUUUUCCAGGUUGACCUCGGAUCAGGUAGGGAUACCCGCUGAACUUAAGCAUAUCAAUAAGCGGAGGA
rnacentral:misc_RNA from 1 species